AGAAGGGAUUUAUCAAUCACUGAGAGAUUUCAGAGGAUGAAGAUUUUAACGAAAUUCAAAAACUAUCGCAAGAGGGCAAUACCUUGGUGGAAUUAACUUCACAUUUUGUUUUUAUUUGGCAAAAUCCCUCUGAGGUUCUUGUGUGUGGAGGGGUGUCUCACUCUCCCUACCACCUCUGACACUUGAAGCUAGACCAAGGCAGCUUGUCCAAGGACUGUGUUUUGUCAUUUUAAAAUUGGUCAGAGAAGGGUACUACUCACCAUAUUUAAAACCAACUUGACCCACUUUUGAGCUCUUGGUUUCCACUUAGCUUUUUCAAAAGCUUGGGGGAGGUUCUUACCCCAAAUGCCCUGGUGAAUGCUAGAAUUACAGAAUUUCUUCCCAAAGUACCUCUAAAGAACCAAUUAUACAAACUGUCGGUUAUAAGAGGAGUAAAUUUUGAGGGCCUGAUGUAUAACGUGGCGGCUAUAAUUGAUAAAAGAUCUCUUUUAACCAAGAGGCUGGAGUUUCUUUUCCUCACUCCUCUCCCCAAUUCUCUUUAAAAAAAUUUUUUUUUGUUAAAGUACAGUUAAUUUACAGUGGCAUGCCAAUUUCUGCUGUAUAUCAAAGUGAACCAGUCUCUCUCUAUAUGUGUGCAUAUAUGCAUAUGUAGAUACACACACACACACACACACACACACACACACACAUUCUUUUUCUCAUAUUCUCAUAUUAUGUUCUUUCACAAGAGAAUGGAUAUAGGUGCCUGUGCUGUACAGCAGGACCUCAUUGAUUGUCAAUUCUGAAUGUAAUAGUUGACAUCUAUGAAACCCAAACUCCCAGUCCAUCCCACUCCUUCUCCCUCCCCCUUGGCAACCACAAGUCUGUUCUCCAUGUCUCUGAGUCUGAAGAACAAAAGCAGACUCUCCCUACCUCUCAAUGUCACCCCAAAUCAAGAGUCUUUAGAUUCUCAAGUUUACUUAACAGAGGGGUCUCCCAAUGCUAUAACCAGCUAUGCUUCCAACACGGCCAACACUUCAUGUUCACCCAUUACUGAGCUUCUUUCUCCUCAUUUCCCUCAAAAGAUGAGAACUAAGUGGGGAGCAGUGUGCCUGCCUGUGAGUUCUUCCCAUGUCCAAGGUCAUAGAGGGAUGGGAACUUGAGGCUUCAGCCUUGUGGGGCAAAGUGUGAACGUCUGUCUCAUUGUCCUGUGCUUGUCGGAAGGAGGUCUCCAGCCCAGAAGAGCCAGAGGUUAGUGCUGGCCCAUUUUCCAGGCCCUGGGAUCAGGGGCAUGGCCUUUGGAUCGGGUGCUGGCUGUCUGCAUCACCACACAGGCUCCAGGAAGCGGGCCUGGCUCCUUCUAUAACGCUCCUCCUCAAGUCCUCCCCCGCCCCGUCCCCCCUCACCUGGGCUGCUCUGCCAGGUGGGAACCAUUCUCUCUACCCUCAGUGCAGAAGGAGCAACACUGGCCUCGUGGUGGGGGUGAACUCAGGACAGGCUUUUCUUCAUAAUUCUGAAUUUCCUAGGUUUUGUCAGUGUAAGCCAGACUCUUAAUGCUAUUUUAAUGCAGUUGUUUUGUGUGUGAAUAAUAUGCUCUUUUUGCCAAACCUCAAACCCUGGAACUAAGAUCUCAUAAAAAUGCCUAGAGUCCAAAGCUAAUAGCUGUUAUUCAGCUGUUAUGGGGUAAGGCCUACGAACGUUUCAGAUUGAUGUUAUUCUCACCAGGGCAGUGGGUGAUACGAACCUACUGAGGAGAGGCCGAGGCUCCAGAUGCUCAGGGUGCAGGCAGAGAUGAAUCCCAUCUGCCUGCUCUAGUCGCUCUUCCAGAUGGAGGUCUCUGGUGUAGAUUUUUAACCUUCAUUCCCUGUCAUAGUUUCCUCCUUCUUGAUCUUCAGCUCAGUGAAUAGCCUCACUCCCCACUCAAGCUGAAAGUUCUAGAAGUCAUCUUUGACUCAUGCCCCUGCCCCCCACCCCGUACACAUCUGAUCCCACCACACAUCUGAUCACUUCAACGUUCAUUCAACAAGGUUUUUCGUUUUUUUGUUUGUUUGUUUGUUUGUUUUUUCGGCUGCACCCGUGGCAUAUGGAAGUCCCUGGGCCAGGGAUUGAAUCCGAGCUGGAGCUUCCACCUAUGCCACAGCUGCAGCAAUGCCAGAAACUUAAUCCACUGCGCCACAGCAGGAGCUCCUCAACAGGUAUCUAGUGAGAGCUAAGUGCUUGCCUGGCACUCUGCUGGAUAGGCUGGUAAAGUGGCAGCCUGCUUGUAGGAGAGAACAUAGGGUCAUGGUUAAGAGUGUGGACUCUGGAAUUCCCUGAUGUCUCGGUGAGGAUAUUGGUUCCAUCCCUGUCCCUGCUCAGUGGCUUAAGGAUCCAGUGUUGCUGCAAGCGGCGGUGUAUGUCAGAGAUGAGGCUGGGGGCCGGUGAUGCAUGGCUGUAGUGUAGGCUGGCAGAUGCAGCUCCAAUACCACCCCCCCUAGUAUAGGGAACUUCCAUGUGCUGCAGGUGCUGCUGUAAAAAAAGAAAAUGUGGCCUCUGAAGAGCCAGAGGUCAUGAGCUGGCUCUGCCAUUAUUAGCUCUGAGACCUUGGGGGCAAGGUCUUUCUGUCUCCUUAAGUGAAGUGGGGGUAAUCAUAGCAUCGGGCUUCACGGUUUCAUUUUGGCACCUAAAUGAAUUAUAGUUUUUAAUCCACUUGGUGUCUGGUAUACUGUAAAUAUGCCAGUGCUUGAAAAAUAAAACAAUGGGGGAGAGAUUGGUACUGAGUCUUCACACAAACAUGUGAAGUGGCAGGUGGAGAGGGUGGUGGCCCUGUGAAGUCUGAGGAGCCCCAGUUGGGCUUUGAAGGAUGAGUGGGUGUCAAAGUCCCGAGGGCUUCAUCUCCCGCCACUGUGCUUGUUCAAGCCUUGGUGACCUCACGCCUGGGGCCUCUGAGUGGUCUUCCUUCCAGCUCCCCUCCUCUGCAGUGGAGUUUUUCUAAACCUUAAGUCUGAUGGGGUCUUUUCCUUAAUGGCAUUCUGCAGGGGCUCCCAAGUUCCCUCAGGCCUGUAGCCAAGUAUCCUCAGUAGGCUUACAAGGACCUGCAUCAUUUUCCUGCCAGCAUCGUCUCGGUCCCCACUUUGCUCACCUCCUCAACCCCUAGGAUACACCCUCACACGCUUUGCUUCAACCAUGGGGAAUUUCUUUUAGUUCUCUCUGCAGGUCACAGGCUUUCUCCCCUCUGGUCCAUGGCUCUUUUUCUCACCCCCACUGGGCAUCUCUCUGCUCUAUCCCCCCUUUCCCGGGUGAGCUUCUAUCAUCCCCGAGACCUCAGCCUCAACCUCGCUCCUGGGGUGGCCUUCCUCAGGCUCCAUGGCUCGAGUGAGGACUUUUGCUGUGAUUUUCUACAGCCCCUCCUAGUGCCCCUACUGCGGAGUUUGUCAUUUAUCAAUCGUGUCAUUUUUCUCUACUCUCUGCAAUCCCACCAAGCUCUGGGAGGGUAGAAGUUGCCUUUCCUGUUCAAGGGUACCCCCCGCCCCCUGAAUUCAGCACAGCGCUGGGCACAUGGUCAGCGCACAAUACCUCUUAUGGGUUGACUUAUGUCUUCCCCCCAAGUCCAUAUAUGUUGAUGCUCUAACCUCUGAACGUGACCUUACUUGGAGAUGGUGUUGCAGAUGUCAUUAGUUAAAAUGAGGUCAUCUUGGAAUAGGGUGAGUCCAACCGACCCAACCCGAGAAUCACCACAUGAAAAGAAAGACAUGCACAUAGAGGGAAAGUGACGUGAAGAUAAUACAGGGAAAAGAUAUUCAUCAACACGCCAAGGGAGGUGGCCCGGAGAAGACACCUCCCUCAUCGCCCUCAGAGGGUACCAAGCCUGCAGACACCUUGAUCUCAGGCUUGGCCUCAGAAUCAAGAGAUGAUACACUUCCUUUAUUUAAGCCACAUGGUGUGUGGUAUUUUGUCACGGCAGCACUGGAAAACAAAGACGACCUCUUUCUUCACAGACCGGGUUUCCAGCUCUUUCCAUGUGCUCCUAUAAGAAAGGACUUGGCCCGAUUGCCAACAUCCCCUCAGCAGCUCCACAUUCCACAAAUAGAUGGCUCCACAAGAAUGGCAGGCCCAGGUGGCUGUUAGUCAUCACAGCAAGCGGCCAAUUUUAGCUUCCAACGACCCCCUUCUCCCUGGGCAUUCCAAGAACUUCACCCAAGUGGGCAGGGGAGGUGCCCCUCUCAGCAAAGCGCCCACAGCAGGGGGGACGGGAGCGGAUGGGCAGGCAGGUGCCUGCUGUUCCCUCCCAGCCAGAAGCAGCAGCUGAGCAGGAACCGGGCUGAGCCAUGCACAGGGGCAAAGAGAAACAAGAGCUGGCGUGUGGAGCCAGAGCCAUGCUCUUUCUGGACUCCGGAGCCACACCACGGGAUGUCGGGGCAGGCUGUGCAGAAGCCAACAUGUCAGGGAGGAACUCCCCCUACCCCCCUUCUUAAAGGACGCUCCCCUUCUCUGUUUGAUUGCAGCCUCUAAUAAGCAAUUCUUUCAAAUUUCUUCUGACUUCAGAAGUUCAGAGUACGUUGAGCUAAAGAAACACCAGGAUCGUAAUUACGGUUAUUAUAGGGAGCUGUUGUAUGCCCAUCGCCACGGCAUCUGGCUGUAAUCACAUGCUUGAUGGAAUGCAAGACGAUCCACGGCUCAUAAUGGGCACUUUCUGAGCCAGGCAGCCACCAAGCGCCCACCCUCCCACUUGGAGGCCCAAGAGAACAGAUGUUUGUGGAAAGAGAGGAUGCCUGUGCCGGUCUGGAGGGCCAGUGACCUCGGCGUGGUGCUCAGGGAGAGACAUUCUAUAACCAGGUCUUGGAGCUCCUACUGUUCUGACCACCGAGCAAGGGCAAGAAGUGGGCUCUCCCCUGACUCUGGGCAGCAGGAAUGGGUUGCCACUGGAGGUGGGGGCGGGUGGUCAUCUCUGAUCACAGUGAGUCUCACAGAUGGCAAAGUGGAAAGGUGUGACUCUGGGAUGUAGACCCCAGCCUCUGUCCCCACUCCCCAGCAGCCAGGAUGCUCCCACACUCUGAAAAAGCUGAAGAAAAAUCUCUCGUUAAACAGUUCCUGAGGCAUAAUGGUCAAUGUCUGCUCAGGCUGCCAUAACAAAACACCACAGGCCAGGUGCCCGAAAUGACAGCAUUUACUUCUCAGCAUUCUAGACAUUGGGAAAUGCGAGAGCAAGCUGCUGCAGAUUGGUUUCUUGGUGAGGGCUCUCUGCCUGGCUGCACAUGACCAUUUUGCCUUCUUGAUGUCUCCUCCCAUGGUGGAGAGAAGAGGCUCUGGUGAGUCUCAUAAGGGCACGAAUCCUGCCAUGGGGCCCCACCUGCAAGACCUCAUCUAACCCUCAUCGCUUCCCAAAUGCCCUGCCUCCUAAUGCCAUCACAUUGGGGUUAGGCUUUAACAUAGGAACUUUGGGGAGACAGAAACAUUCUGUCUCUAAGGGUUAAACUUGCUUUCUCUCUCUCUUUUUUUGUGCCUAUCACGUCUUUCUUCACUCCUCAGUUUUGAGAGUCAAGAAACCCAGAGUUGGAGUUCCUGUUGUGGCUCAGUGGUUAAUGAACCCUACUAGUAACCACGAGGUUUUGUGGGUUCAAUUGCUGUCCUUUCUCAGUGGGUUAAGGAUCGGGUGUUGCUGUGGUGUAGGUCCAAGACACAGCUCUGAUCCUGCAUUGCUGUGGCUAUGGCGUAGGCCCGUGGCUAUAGCUCCAAUUAGACCCCUAGCCUGGGAACCUUCAUAUGUCGUGGUGCAGCCCU
rnacentral:lncRNA from 1 species